UACGUAGGGGGCAAGCGUUGUCCGGAUUUAUUGGGCGUAAAGAGCGUGUAGGCGGCCAUACAGGUCAGCUGUGAAAACUCGAGGCUCAACCUCGAGACGUCGGUUGAAACCGUAUGGCUAGAGUCCGGAAGAGGAGAGUGGAAUUCCCGGUGUAGCGGUGAAAUGCGCAGAUAUCGGGAAGAACACCCGUGGCGAAGGCGGCUACUCGUGGGACGGUACUGGACGCUGAGACGCGAAAGCGUGGGGAGCGAACAGG
rnacentral:rRNA from 1 species